UCGAUAUUGUCACACAUGAAAGUGACACCUCUACGCUGAGGCCAUUUUUAAUAACCCACGUGGAGAGAUUCGCUGCCUAGUGAAUAAAACAAACCUCCUACAGUCCUCUAUUGCUAGGCUAUUCUUUUAUCCUCAAUUGGAAGCGACUCGAGCCCGAACUCCUUUCCUUCCUCCCUAACUUUCUUGUUUCGGAGCUCUCCUCGUGAAACGAAACGUUUCAAUUAAUAUUAAUAUUAAUAUUAAUAUAUCAAAUAUUAAUCAUGCCACUUCUAGGUCGAUUCCUCGGAUUCUUAUUUUUUCCCCUUAUUUUCCUUCUUUCUUCAUUUCGAAAAUGAAUAUAAAUUAAUUUUGAAGAUAAUAGAACAUACAUUUUCAAUUCAUUUCAAAUUUUUUGAAUUAUAUUUCAGCGCAUGCGCCGAUGGCUCGACUUUGACAUUACGCGUGGCGUGUUCCUCUAUGUUACGAUUUUGCUCUCUAUCCCGAAUGCCAACUUAACCUCAAAUUUACAAUUUUUUGUUUGGGUAUGACCUACUACGAUACUAUACAUUGUCACGAAAGCAAAGUUUUCGCCUUCUUAUUCGGAAGAAAUGUAUCGGAAUGUAAGAUGCCGGUGGCUCUGUCCUGGGCCACAAGCCAUGAUUGUUUUAAGAGCUUAAAAUAUAUAAUUAUUGACGAAUACAAUUUCGUCACAAAUCAUCAAGCUCCUGCCGAGUCAGUGAGGAGAAGGAGGAAACAGCCAUCCGCUUGUCAGCCCAAGCAGAGUUAUACCAGAUGUGGACCACUGUUGUCACUGCUCUGAAGCUCAACCGUGAUAUAAUAAGAAGUGCCGCAGAUGGACCUCUAAACAUAUCUCGAAUGAGCGGUUCGUGACAGGAGCUUGACGAGCAAAUGAAUCGUUUUACCGAACGCAGCACGGAAGAAUAGAAAAAGAUAUUUAUUUCAGACUGUUAACGAUUGGAUCAGAGCGACAGCGACCAAGUACCGCAUCCUUAGAGCAGCCAGGGAAAUAGGAGAACGAACAAUGAGCCUAUUUUUCAGUGACUCAGAAAAACGCCUCCUACAUCUGAUAGGCUUAA